AGCUCUAUUUCUAGCAAGACUGGAGGCAUAGAUGAAGAGCUGGGCGGUGAUACAUGAUGGAGAAGUUGAACAACUGGACGUAGAGAUAAGAGACCUUCCUUCAAGUCUUGACUCUGCUAUUUACUAUGUGUGGUGGUUUGACAAAUUGUUCAUCUGUACUCUCUCAUCUCUCAAGGUGAGAGCCCAUGUGCUGCAAACUACAGAGCCCCCGUGUCCUGGAGCUCGCGCACCACACAACUAGUGAAGAGAAAACCUGCACGCCACAACUAGAGA